AACCCCUCUACUUAGUGCCCGAAAGGGGGCGGGGGCGGCGGCGCGUGCGGGAGGAAGGCCUUCGGGUUGUAAACCGCUGUCGGGAGUUAAGAAAUGCAAGGAUGUUAAUAGCGUUCUUGCUUGACUAAGGCUCCGGAGGAAGCCACGGCUAACUCUGUGCCAGCAGCCGCGGUAAUACAGAGGCGGCAAGCGUUGUUCGGAAUUAUUGGGCGUAAAGAGCACGUAGGCGGCUGUGUAAGUCGGUUGUGAAAGCCUUCCGCUCAACGGAAGAACGGCAUCCGAUACUGCAUGGCUUGAGUGUGGGAGGGGAGAGUGGAACUUCUGGUGGAGCGGUGAAAUGCGUAGAUAUCAGAAGGAACACCGGCGGCGAAGGCGACUCUCUGGUCCAUAACUGACGCUGAGUGUGCGAAAGCUAGGGGAGCAAACGGGAUUAGAUACCCCGGUAGUCCUAGCCGUAAACGAUGGGCACUAAGUAGAGGGGUUUU
rnacentral:rRNA from 1 species